GACGUAGGGCGCGAGCGUUGUCCGGAAUCAUUGGGCGUAAAGCGCGCGUAGGCGGCCCGAUAAGUCCGCUGUAAAAGUCAACGGCUCAACUGUUGAAAGCCGGUGGAUACUGUCGGGCUAGAGUACGGAAGAGGCGAGUGGAACUCCUGGUGUAGCGGUGGAAUGCGCAGAUAUCAGGAAGAACACCGACGGCGAAGGCAGCUCGCUGGGACGGUACUGACGCUGAGGCGCGAAAGCGUGGGGAGCGAACAGG
rnacentral:rRNA from 1 species